AGAGCAGUCGGUGGCAGCUGCAGGGAUAGCUAGACGUGUUUCACUUGCGUCAGUUUGCAGCAGAGCUUGACAGGGCCGCGCUGAGGGUGCUUUUAACUCCCCGUGACUGGCAGCAUUUCCAGCCACGAUGGCCAGUCCAACACAUCCCGAAGGCCCCACGCUGAGGAAAACUGCUCUACUACAUCUGAUCAGAGGUACAGUGCACCUUUGAUGUUCUUCAAGGCUUAUGAUUUGUCCCUACCCAGAAAACCUGGAGACCAGAUUGGGCUGGAUGACCUGCUACACCACCCAAACAUCAGGAGUGCAUCUGAUCAACCAUUCAUUUCCUUCAAACCACACAACAUGAGAACAGUUUGUUAUGCUUCUAGCUUGUGAGAAGCUGCAAAAAUCCAGGAGUGGCACAGCUACAUCUGGACUUUGGGGUCAAAAUCCAGCUACCCCCUCUCCCGAGAUGGCCACCGAAGUGCGACAGAUGAUGGGGUGAGGCAAAGAGGCUCAGAGCAGUGCUCCUAUCCUGAGGCAUCCUUGCUUGGUUCUUUUUAGGACAGCCAGCUGGGACUGUGCAUGGUUACAGACACUAAUUUUAUUCUACAUUUUUCUUAUGUACGUAUGUAAAAUCUUUUUCUACAUCAAAAUGAUGCUUGUUCCCAAACAAAUAUAUUCAGCAUGAGGGCAGCA